rnacentral:rRNA from 1 species
GACGAACGCUGGCGGCGUGCUUAACACAUGCAAGUCGAGCGGAAAGGCCACUUCGGUGGUACUCGAGCGGCGAACGGGUGAGUAACACGUGAGUAAUCUGCCCCUGGCUUUGGGAUAGCCACCGGAAACGGUGAUUAAUACCGGAUACGACCACUUCUCGCAUGGGAUGGUGGUGGAAAGUUUUUUCGGUCAGGGAUGUGCUCGCGGCCUAUCAGCUUGAUGGUGAGGUAAUGGCUCACCAUGGCUUCGACGGGUAGCCGGCCUGGGAGGGUGACCGGUCACACUGGGACUGAGACACGGCCCAGAUUCCUACGGGAGGCAGCAGUGGGGAAUAUUGGACAAUGGGCGGAAGCCUGAUCCAGCAACGCCGCGUGAGGGAUGACGGCCUUCGGGUUGUAAACCUCUUUCAGCAGGGACGAAGCGCAAGUGACGGUACCUGCAGAAGAAGCACCGGCCAACUACGUGCCAGCCGCCGCGGUAA